AUGGGGAACUUUUUGCCCGGACGUGCGUCCAUGAAGGACGCCCUGGACGAAACCAUGCACCUCGUCGACACCAAGAUGGUCUGGCAUCACGUCGCCAACGGCGGGUGCCUCCAAGAGUUCGUGAUCGCCAUGGACGUGUGCAACCCCGAUUACAUGAAGCAGCGGCACCCCCAGUUUUACAAGAAGCAGCAACGCAAGGCCACCCCCGUCGACAAGGACGCGUGCGUCAAGGCCACGGCGGCACUGCGCGAGUGCUUCGCCGGCAACCCCGUCAUGUUCAAGCACGAGUAUCUCCACCGCAUGGACGAGGGCCUCGACCAGGACCGCAACCCCUCCCCGGCCCAGAUCAAGAAGGAGUGGGCCAGCGAAUAUAGGUGGUGGACCGGCAUGAGGAGAAGCUAG
rnacentral:rRNA from 1 species